GGAUGUAGCUCAGUGGGUAGAGUGCUUGCCUUGCAUGCACAAGGCCCUGGGUUCAAUCCCCAGCACCA
rnacentral:tRNA from 1 species